rnacentral:rRNA from 1 species
UAUGGUGCAAAGCUGUGCCCAGUCUUGUCUGAUCUUGGAAGCUAAGCAGGAUCAGCCCAAUUAGUACUUGGAUGGGAGACAUUCUGGUAAUACUGAGUGCUGUAA